rnacentral:rRNA from 1 species
AGAUUGAACGCUAGCGGGAUGCUUUACACAUGCAAGUCGAACGGCAGCGCGGACUUCGGUCUGGCGGCGAGUGGCGAACGGGUGAGUAAUAUAUCGGAACGUGCCCAGUAGCGGGGGAUAACUACGCGAAAGCGUGGCUAAUACCGCAUACGCCUACGGGGGAAAGGGGGGGAUCGCAAGACCUCUCACUAUUGGAGCGGCCGAUAUCAGAUUAGCUAGUUGGUGAGGUAAAGGCUCACCAAGGCGACGAUCUGUAGCUGGUUUGAGAGGACGACCAGCCACACUGGGACUGAGACACGGCCCAGACUCCUACGGGAGGCAGCAGUGGGGAAUUUGGACAAUGGGGGGAAACCUGGAUCCAGCCAUCCCGCGUGUGCGAUGAAGGCCGUUGGGUUGUAAAGCUACUUUGGU